rnacentral:rRNA from 1 species
AAUAAGGAUCGGCUAACUCCGUGCCAGCAGCCGCGGUAAUACGGAGGAUCCGAGCGUUAUCCGGAUUUAUUGGGUUUAAAGGGUGCGUAAGCGGGAUAGUAAGUCAGUGGUGAAAGUUUGCAGCUUAACUGUAAAAUUGCCGUUGAAACUGUUAUUCUUGAAAGUAGAUGAGGUAGGCGGAAUGUGUUGUGUAUCGGUGAAAUGCUUAGAUAUAACACAGAAUCCCGAUUGCGAAGGCAGCUUACCGGGCUACAUCUGACGCUGAUGCACGAAAGCGUGGGGAUCAAACAGGAUUACAUACCCUGGUAGUCCACGCUGUAAACGAUGAAUACUAGCUGUCUGCGAUAUACUGUAUGUGGCCAAGCGAAAGCAUUAAGUAUUCCACCUGGGGAGUACGAUCGCAAGAAUGAAACUCAAGGAAAUUUGACG